GGAGCCAUAUAACACACCUCUUUGAAAAUGACCGUCAUUUUUCUCACCUCUCAACAUUGGAAAGGGAGAUGGCUUUUCGCACUGAAAUGGGACUAUAUUAUUCCUAUUUCAAGACUAUUGUGGAAGCACCCUCAUUUUUGAAUGGAGUAUGGAUGAUUAUGAAUGAUAAACUGACUGAAUACCCGCUUGUCAUUAAUACAUUAAAAAGAUUCAAUCUUUACCCUGAGGUAAUUUUGGCCAGUUGGUACCGGAUUUAUACCAAAAUAAUGGACUUGAUUGGUAUUCAAACCAAGAUAUGUUGGACGGUUACCAGAGGAGAAGGACUCAGUCCUAUUGAAAGCUGUGAAGGAUUGGGAGAUCCUGCUUGCUUUUAUGUUGCUGUAAUUUUUAUUUUAAAUGGACUAAUGAUGGCAUUAUUCUUCAUAUAUGGCACAUAUUUAAGUGGCAGCCGAUUAGGAGGCCUGGUUACAGUGUUGUGCUUCUUUUUCAAUCAUGGAGAGUGUACCCGUGUAAUGUGGACACCACCUCUCCGUGAAAGCUUCUCAUAUCCAUUUCUUGUUCUUCAGAUGUUGCUAGUGACUCAUAUUCUCAGGGCUACAAAACUUUAUAGAGGAAGCUUGAUUGCACUCUGCAUUUCCAAUGUAUUUUUCAUGCUUCCUUGGCAGUUUGCUCAGUUUGUACUUCUUACUCAGAUUGCAUCAUUAUUUGCAGUAUAUGUUGUCGGGUACAUUGAUAUAUGUAAAUUACGGAAGAUCAUUUAUAUACACAUGAUUUCUCUUGCACUUUGUUUUGUUUUGAUGUUUGGGAACUCAAUGUUAUUAACUUCUUAUUAUGCUUCUUCUUUGGUAAUUAUUUGGGGUAUUCUGGCAAUGAAACCACAUUUCCUGAAAAUAAAUGUAUCUGAACUUAGUUUAUGGGUUAUUCAAGGAUGUUUUUGGUUAUUUGGAACUGUCAUACUUAAAUACUUGACAUCUAAAAUUUUUGGUAUUGCAGAUGACGU
rnacentral:lncRNA from 1 species